AAACCUCAACCUCCUUGGUUUCUUCUGGAGACCAAAGGAGGCUUGGACUUUGGAGGCCUUUGCUGGCGUCUCUCUUUUGAAGGCCAGCUCCUCUCAAACAAAUUAGCGGGGUCCUCUUUGCCGAUCCUCGACAUGUGAUAAGAUGUUUCCGUGUCUUGGUUUCUGGCUCUGUUGCUUUUGGGAUCCGCUUCAAACCGUCUCGAGCUUGCAUCGAGACAAUGUUCGAGCUUGUCUCCCUUCUCGGGAAACUCUCUCGACCCCACGAAC
rnacentral:misc_RNA from 1 species